GAUGAACGCUGGCGGCGUGCCUAAUACAUGCAAGUCGAGCGAACAGACGAGGAGCUUGCUCCUCUGACGUUAGCGGCGGACGGGUGAGUAACACGUGGAUAACCUACCUAUAAGACUGGGAUAACUUCGGGAAACCGGAGCUAAUACCGGAUAAUAUAUUGAACCGCAUGGUUCAAUAGUGAAAGACGGUUUUGCUGUCACUUAUAGAUGGAUCCGCGCCGCAUUAGCUAGUUGGUAAGGUAACGGCUUACCAAGGCAACGAUGCGUAGCCGACCUGAGAGGGUGAUCGGCCACACUGGAACUGAGACACGGUCCAGACUCCUACGGGAGGCAGCAGUAGGGAAUCUUACACAAUUGGCGAAAGCCUGACGGAGCAACGCCGCGUGAGUGAUGAAGGUCUUCGGAUCGUAAAACUCUGUUAUUAGGGAAGAACAAAUGUGUAAGUAACUAUGCACGUCUUGACGGUACCUAAUCAGAAAGCCACGGCUAACUACGUG
rnacentral:rRNA from 1 species